rnacentral:rRNA from 1 species
CCUACGGGAGGCAGCAGUGAGGAAUAUUGGUCAAUGGCCGGAAGGCUGAACCAGCCAAGCCGCGUGAAGGACGAAGGUGCCAAGCAUUGUAAACUUCUUUUGUCAAGGGACAAAAUCAGGCUCGAGAGCCUGACCGAGGGUACUUGAAGAAAAAGCAUCGGCUAACUCCGUGCCAGCAGCCGCGGUAAUACGGAGGAUGCGAGCGUUAUCCGGAUUUAUUGGGUUUAAAGGGUGCGUAGGCGGACGCUUAAGUCAGCGGUAAAAUUGCGGGGCUCAACCUCGUCGAGCCGUUGAAACUGGGUGCCUUGAGUGGGCGAGAAGUACGCGGAAUGCGUGGUGUAGCGGUGAAAUGCAUAGAUAUUAGGAGGAACACCAGUGGCGAAGGCGGUCUGCUGGACAGCAACUGACGCUGAGGCGCGAAAGCGUGGGGAGCAAACAGGAUUAGAUACCCUGGUAGUC